rnacentral:lncRNA from 1 species
UACACUAUCCGCUAGUUAGUUUUCUAGCUAAAAACUUUGUUUUCUCAUAUAAUGAACUAGAGAUGCCUUGUCUCAUACUUUUGAACUGUACUCCAGCAAUUAUACCUGUCAAUGGUAACACCGAGCUUCUAAAUAGUUUGGAGGAAUUUCCUUGUACCCAUGAUCUUUACAAUUCAAUGCUAUGAACCACCUGAUAAUUGGUCAUGUGCAACUAUCGCACUAUUCCGCUCCCCCUCCCCCUCACCCUUCAUUUUGUUAGAGUUCUUUUAUCUAUUUCUUUCUCAGCUUUACCCUUUAAAAAUCUUUUAUUAAAUUUCUUGGUGCUGAAUCCAUUUGCAUCUGCUAUUAUUAGUUACGCACAGAGAAAGUUGUUUUGUUGGUAAUGGCAAUGGAUUACAUAGUAUAUAGUCUCAUGUAUCGUUUGGCAGGUGGAUGUUCCAUUAUUGAAACUUCUCUGGGCUGACCAAUACCCAAUAGGUGCUAUUGGCAGAUGUUUUGAUUUUAUCUUUUACCUGAUUUUCAUUUUAGCCUUUACUGCAUAGAAACCAAAGAAGUAACUGAUUUGUUAGGUAGUUGCUGCUGAUAAUAUUGUAUCAAACCUCAAUCUCAAUGCUUUGAAAUAUUCAUUUUUUUCAAGUACUUCUGAAGUAUUCAUCUUAUGUAGCUACAUAUGUAUUGCUUGGUAUACAGCCUAACUAUUCCAGUCAUCAUUGCUCUGUUGUUGCAUUCAUUUUCAUCAAGACUUUAAAGUUCCAGCUCGUUUGCAGGUUGAAGCAGCUGUUUCUGAGAGGGAGCGCAUGUUGCUAGGCAAAGUAUCUGAGCUUCAAGCUAGGUGAGCUAAGCAGUGGACUCACAUCAACUUUGUCGUCAUGCUUCUCUUUUAUACAGACUCUUUUCUUAAACUGAUCUUAUCGCAAUUGCGCAGGAUGAUUAGCCUGACAGAUGAAUUAACAACAGAAAAACUAAAAUAUAUGCAGGUGAGUGACCUAAUUGGUUUUCGUUUAUGCAAGUGGAUCGAAAAAUAGACAUAAAAUAUACGAUAUAGACUAUGACUUGAGUUCUUUCAGGGGUCAGGACCAGCAGGUGCUUCCCCCGCUCCCCCCU